GAAAUGCGAUAAGUAAUGUGAAUUGCAGAAUUCAGUGAAUCAUCGAAUCUUUGAACGCACAUUGCGCCCGCCAGUAUUCUGGCGGGCAUUCCUGUUCGAGCGUCAUUUCAACCAUCAAGCCCCCGGGCUUGUGUUGGGGACCUGCGGCUGCCGCAGGUCCCGAAAACCAGUGGCGGGCUCGCUGUCACACCGGGCGUAGUAGAUUUUUCGUCUCGCCCAGGGCGUGCUGCGGGUUCCGGCCGUUAAAAAGCCUCUCUUUUAACCCAAGGUUGACCUCGGAUCAGGUAGGAAGACCCGCUGAACUUAAGC
rnacentral:misc_RNA from 1 species